GUUAGGCACCUCAUCCUAUUAAAAUCCCCUCUGCCCAAGGGCCCUUAAUCCCAGGAAGACAUAUACACAGUUUAUGCCCUUCUCAUUUCAGUUGGCAUACUUCUCAUAUUAUUUCUUCAUAGGCCAGAAGUCUGAAGCUUACAGAUCUGUCUGUGCGUUCUCCAGUUCACAAGAUCCUUAUGUGCUGCAAUCAACUUUUUCUUCUUAACCAUCUUCAAUCAAGUGAUGAAGGCCCCUUUUCAAGGAGGCACUUAUGCAGGAACAGUACCAGUAGCUUCACAUGUCUGAACAAAUCUGCACAUCCUGAUGUGAGCACAAUCCUGAGUUGGACACAAGCUUAGAAUUCAGCCUGACUAGGCUUCAGUCAUAAUAAAUUCACCCACCAGCAAAUUUUAGUGUGCUAACUGCUGAAAUGGACUACACCCAUGGAAGAAGCUCCUGACAAG
rnacentral:lncRNA from 1 species